rnacentral:lncRNA from 1 species
CCAGCUUUGAUAUUCCAUGCUGCCAUGGAGAGCCCACGUGGCCUGUGAGUCAGUGACGUAUCAAAUCCAAGAGGAGGGAGCGCGAUGGACAAUCAGACCACGACCACCACCCAGCAGUGAGAUCUUCCCUGUGUAAUACACAUCAAGUGGCUGGCAACGUACCAUGUGGAAGAAAAACAAUACAUACGCUUGGCUUAUUGAAUGAAUAUAUACACAUGCAUCUCUUUGAGCAUAAGACUAUAUAUAUGCAUUUAUGUUCACUCCUCUUGAGGUGGGAAAUAUAAAAUUAGCACUGUGAUGUCAAAAAUGAUGAAAAUGAGGAUAUUCAUUUAGAGUGAAUCCUUCCUCUCAUCCCAGAGAGCAAUCUCUAACUUCAAAACCCAACAAUCAAACAUUUCUUCAAAUCAAAUGUUUUCCCAAGACACUGUGCUUUUAAUAA